GUGCCCCUACGGGACGCAGCAGUGAGGAAUAUUGGUCAAUGGUCGGGAGACUGAACCAGCCAAGCCGCGUGAGGGAUGAAGGUACAGAGUAUCGUAAACCUCUUUUGUCAGGGAACAAAGGCGGGGACGUGUCCCCGGAUGAGUGUACCUGAAGAAAAAGCACCGGCUAACUCCGUGCCAGCAGCCGCGGUAAUACGGAGGAUGCGAGCGUUAUCCGGAUUUAUUGGGUUUAAAGGGUGCGCAGGCGGAAUGUCAAGUCAGCGGUAAAAUUUCGGGGCUCAACCCCGUCGUGCCGUUGAAACUGG
rnacentral:rRNA from 1 species